UAGGGAAUCUUCCACAAUGGACGCAAGUCUGAUGGAGCAACGCCGCGUGAGUGAAGAAGGUUUUCGGAUCGUAAAGCUCUGUUGUUGGUGAAGAAGGAUAGAGGUAGUAACUGGCCUUUAUUUGACGGUAAUCAACCAGAAAGUCACGGCUAACUACGUGCCAGCAGCCGCGGUAAUACGUAGGUGGCAAGCGUUGUCCGGAUUUAUUGGGCGUAAAGCGAGCGCAGGCGGAAGAAUAAGUCUGAUGUGAAAGCCCUCGGGUUAACCGAGGAACUGCAUCGGAAACUGUUUUACUUGAGUGCAGAAAGAGAGAGUGGAACUCCAGGUGUAGCGGUGGAAUGCGUAGAUAUAUGGAAGAACACCAGUGGCGAAGGCGACUCUCUGGUCUGCAACUGACGCUGAGGCUCGAAAGCAUGGGUAGCGAACAGG
rnacentral:rRNA from 1 species